rnacentral:lncRNA from 1 species
CGAAAACUCCAUAACCCAGCCAACCAACACCGAGCCCCGUCGACCCCAUCUGGGUUUCGCGCCGCCGAUGUCGAGUUCCACCCUAGAUCACCAAGUGGAGACGCCAGCCCUGUCCGCUUGUCAACUUCACCUGCACCCGAUCUGGACCUUGACGCCAUCACCACGCAACCUUCACCCCGACGGGGCUUACACCUGGAAAACCCACUAUCGGACUCUAGGUCCUCUCCGGCCCGUCCG